AUCGCUUCUCGGCCUUUUGGCUAAGAUCAAGUGUAGUAUCUGUUCUUAUCAGUUUAAUAUCUGAUACGUCCUCUAUCCGAGGAAAGAAAUUAAAAAAAAAAAACAAAAAACUCAGCUUAACUCAUCCCUGAUCUCUUCUUUAACCCAA
rnacentral:snRNA from 1 species